AGGGAGUUGAUGCAAGUAUCAGGUCAGAGGUUUGGACUUUCCUACUUGGAGUUUAUGAACUGAACAGUUGCCAAGAAGAAAGGGAUAGAUUAAGAACUCAGGGGAG